rnacentral:tRNA from 1 species
UGGUAUUUAGUUUAAAGUAAAAUAAAUGAUUUCGACUCAUUAGAUUGUGAUUUAAUUCACAAUUACCAA